GAUGAACGCUAGCGGCAGGCUUAACACAUGCAAGUCGAGGGGCAUCGAGAGUAGCAAUACUUGUCGGCGACCGGCGCACGGGUGCGUAACGCGUAUGCAACCUACCUUAUACAGGGGGAUAACCUUUCGAAAGGGAGACUAACACCGCAUAAUAUUAGAGGGUGGCAUCAUUUUCUGAUUAAAUAUUUAUAGGUAUAAGAUGGGCAUGCGUAACAUUAGCUAGUUGGUAAGGUAACGGCUUACCAAGGCUACGAUGUUUAGGGGUUCUGAGAGGAAGGUCCCCCACACUGGUACUGAGACACGGACCAGACUCCUACGGGAGGCAGCAGUGAGGAAUAUUGGUCAAUGGGCGAGAGCCUGAACCAGCCAUGCCGCGUGCAGGAAGACGGUCUUAUGGAUUGUAAACUGCUUUUUUGCUAGGAUAAUAACAUUUUUGCGAAGAUGUAUGAAGGUAUAGUAAGAAUAAGGAUCGGCUAACUCCGUGCCAGCAGCCGCGGUAAUACGGAGGAUUCGAGCGUUAUCCGGAUUUAUUGGGUUUAAAGGGUGCGUAGGCGGUUAGAUAAGUUAGAGGUGAAAGACUAUUGCUCAACAAUGGCGAGCCUUUAAUACUGUUUAACUAGAAUUGAAAUGGAGCAGGCGGAAUGAAUCAUGUAGAGGUGACAUUCAUAGAUAUGAUUUGGAACACCGUUCGCGAAGGCGGCUUGCUAACAUUAUAUUGACGCUGAGGCACGAAAGCGUGGGUAUCGAACAGGAUUAGAUACCCUGGUAGUCCACGCUGUAAACGAUGAUAACUCGAUGUUGGCGAUAUAUAGUCAGUGUCUAAGAGAAAUCGAUAAGUUAUCCACCUGGGGAGUACGAUCGCAAGGUUGAAACUCAAAGGAAUUGACGGGGGCCCGCACAAGCGGAGGAGCAUGUGGUUUAAUUCGAUGAUACGCGAGGAACCUUACCUGGGCUAGAACGUGCAAUUAAUAUUUUAGAAAUAAGAUAGUCUGUUAAAGGAAAUUGUACGAGGUGCUGCAUGGUUGUCGUCAGCUCGUGCCGUGAGGUGUCAGGUUAAGUCCUAUAACGAGCGCAACCCCUACACUUAGUUGCCAGCAUGUCAUGAUGGGGACUCUAGGUGGACUGCCUGCGUAAGCAGAGAGGAAGGUGGGGAUGACGUCAAAUCAGCACGGCCCUUACGUCCAGGGCGACACACGUGCUACAAUGGCGAGUACAGAGGGCAGCGACACAGUGAUGUGAAGCGAAUCUCUAAAGCUCGUCUCAGUUCGGAUUGGAGUCUGCAACCCGACUCCAUGAAGUUGGAUUCGCUAGUAAUCGCAGAUCAGCCAUGCUGCGGUGAAUACGUUCCCGGGC
rnacentral:rRNA from 1 species